rnacentral:tRNA from 1 species
GGGGCUGUAGCUCAGCUGGGAGAGCACCUGCUUUGCAAGCAGGGGGUCAGCGGUUCGAUCC